GAGCGUUCUAUGUGUGAAGAAGGUGUACCGUGAGGAGCGCUGGAACGCAUAGAAGUGAGAAUGCCGGUAUGAGUAGCGAAAGACAGGUGAGAAUCCUGUCCACCGUAAGACUAAGGUUUCCAGGGGAAGGCUCGUCCGCCCUGGGUUAGUCGGGACCUAAGGAGAGACCGAAAGGUGUAUCCGAUGGCCAACAGGUUGAUAUUCCUGUACUAGAGUAUAAAGUGAUGGAGGGACGCAGUAGGCUAACUAAAGCAGGCGAUUGGAAGAGCCUGUCUAAUCAGUGAGGUGUAAGAUGAGUCAAAUGCUUAUCUUUAUAACAUUGAGCUGUGAUGGGGAGCGAAGUUAAGUAGCGAAGUUAGUGAUGUCACACUGCCAAGAAAAGCUUCUAGCGUUUAAUUAUACUCUACCCGUACCGCAAACCGACACAGGUAGUCGAGGCGAGUAGCCUCAGGUGAUCGAGAGAACUCUCGUUAAGGAACUCGGCAAAAUGACCCCGUAACUUCGGGAGAAGGGGUGCUGACUUACGUCAGCCGCAGUGAAUAGGCCCAAGCAACUGUUUAUCAAAAACACAGCUCUCUGCUAAAUCGUAAGAUGAUGUAUAGGGGGUGACGCCUGCCCGGUGCUGGAAGGUUAAGAGGAGGGUUUAGCGUAAGCGAAGAUCUGAAUU
rnacentral:rRNA from 1 species